rnacentral:snRNA from 1 species
GUUUUUUUUCGGUUUUUUGCUCAGCCCUAUCUAUUCUUAUCAGUUUAAUAUCUGAUAUGUGGGCCAUUGAUCUACACGAUAUUAAAUUUAUUUUUUGAGGGGAAAGUUCCAUCACAGUAGCUUGCUGCUGGGUUCUGCUUUGGCCUGGCACACCCCACCAAAUCAAGUUUA